rnacentral:rRNA from 1 species
UACGUAGGGGGCUAGCGUUAUCCGGAAUUAUUGGGCGUAAAGGGUGUGUAGGUGGUCCGAUUAGUCUUGUGUUAAAACCAGGAGCUCAACUUCUGAUCUGCACAGGAAACGGUCGGACUAGAGUGCGCAAGAGGUUUGCGGAACUCAUGGUGUAGGGGUAAAAUCCGUUGAUAUCAUGGGGAACACCGAAAGCGAAGGCAGCAAACUGGUGCGCCACUGACACUGAAACACGAAAGCGUGGGUAGCGAAUGGG